GACGUAGGGGGCCAGCGUUGCUCGGAAUUACUGGGUGUAAAGGGUUCGUAGGCGGUGUGGCAAGUCGGGAGUGAAAUCUCUGGGCUCAACCCAGAGUCUGCUUCCGAAACUUCUGUGCUUGAGUGUGGGAGAGGCGCGUGGAAUUGCAGGUGUAGCGGUGAAAUGCGUAGAUAUCUGCAGGAACACCCGUGGCGAAAGCGGCGCGCUGGACCACUACUGACGCUGAGGAACGAAAGCUAGGGGAGCAAACAGG
rnacentral:rRNA from 1 species